rnacentral:rRNA from 1 species
CCCGUGUUUAUUUUACCUUGUUGCUUCGGCGGGCCCGCCUUAACUGGCCGCCGGGGGGCUUACGCCCCCGGGCCCGCGCCCGCCGAAGACACCCUCGAACUCUGUCUGAAGAUUGAAGUCUGAGUGAAAAUAUAAAUUAUUUAAAACUUUCAACAACGGAUCUCUUGGUUCCGGCAUCGAUGAAGAACGCAGCGAAAUGCGAUACGUAAUGUGAAUUGCAAAUUCAGUGAAUCAUCGAGUCUUUGAACGCACAUUGCGCCCCCUGGUAUUCCGGGGGGCAUGCCUGUCCGAGCGUCAUUGCUGCCCUCAAGCCCGGCUUGUGUGUUGGGCCCCGUCCCCCGAUCUCCGGGGGACGGGCCCGAAAGGCAGCGGCGGCACCGCGUCCGGUCCUCGAGCGUAUGGGGCUUUGUCACCCGCUCUGUAGGCCCGGCCGGCGCUUGCCGAUCAACCCAAAUUUUUAUCCAGGUUGACCUCGGAUCAGGUAGGGAUACCCGCUGAACUUAA